AGAGGUCGAGGGUCUGCGGCAGCAAAUGCGAUAACAUCAAUAUCUGUCCGUGCUAAACACCUGAGACCACCAUGUCAUAGCCGGGCCCAUAUUCACCGUGAUUUACUCCCUCUCAUACUUGUGGGGCCGGGGUGAGGGGGCCGCUGGGUUGGCGGUUCCAACCUUUUGCAACUUGUUUGAUCUGGACAUAAACUCUACAGCAAAUGGUUGACGAAGCACACUGAUUUGGGGAUCGCGCGUGCAAGAACAGAGCUUCCUUCCACCAGCGCCGAUCAACAAGAUUGGAUCGCCGGAGAAGGGAGAGGAUUCACUGCUUCUCCGGUGAGCUAUUCCGAGCCUCCACAACAACCAAUUAGGCGGAUACCACCUCACACAGCUGUCGCUCCACCUCACUACCGCCGAGCUCAGAUUUUCCACCGUCGGAGUUUAUGAAGGAGAAAGGAGUUUCCCUAGCCUUCUGAAGCCUCAGAUUGAUCUUUCCUUCAUCCGAAUCAACAUCAAAUUCCAAUCAAUUCCACCUCCUUGGUGCUCUGUCGAUCACCGUCACCGACGUGUUUCUCUUCUCCUGAUUUGUGGCAGGCACGUCUUGUGGUGAGGCCAAUGCUUUCAACUGUUUACCCAGGUUUACAAUCGUUUCCUGGCAAUCUGCAAGCUUUUUGGAAGCUUCAGCUGUAUCGCAGUCCUGUAUGAUCUUAGUGAAAUAAUUGCAGGGCAUAGCUUGGAGUUUCCUUGGAUGAGACACUGUGCCGCAUCGUCAAAAAUUUCAGAAGACAUUGUUGAACUUCAAGGAUCUUCGCAAUUGAAAGCUGUGUCCCAAGAUCUUCAUUAAUAAAUUUUUGUUUGAUAAUCUGGUCUUCAAUCUGCCCCUUGGAUUCCUUAAGUGCUGCUAGUUCUAGUUGUAAAUUGGAGACGUUCACUUCUGACUCCCGAAGUUGAGCUGUCAGCAUUUCAUUCUUAUUAGUGAAUGUUUUCAGCACUGAUUCGAGAUCUUUCCUUCUAGACUCCACACUCGUGAUCUUACACUUCAAUUGCUCAUUUUCAUCUUUCAGUGUGGUCUCUGUAUCAUCCAUUCUUGACAAGAGAUAAUGACGGUGCAUUUCAUCGGUAAUAUGUGCUUCUUCAAUUGAAUCUAACUUAUCCAACUCUUUAGAUGGAUAUACCACAGCUUUGAGCUCAUGGCUAGUGUUUAAUUCGUCUGCAUCCAAGUGUUUCCUUAUCGUUGCUUUCAUGUCUGUAACAUCCUGAAGAAAAAAACAAUGGUUUACAAUCCACUCCAGAGUUGAAGCUACUUGAGCAGCAAAUUGCUCGAGAUCAACCUUUCUGCACUGCAAUUCAUUACACACCGAAACAAAAUUCUGUAGAACAGCAACUUGCUCAGAAUUUUCCCACAGAAAUGAGCAGGCAACAUAUCCAUUUGCCAAAGGAGAUCUUUGAGCUAUAGAAUUUGCUUGGGCAUCACCAGAAGACAUCUCCAUUCCAUUGCUUUUGGUAAUUUUCUGAAUGAUUCCCUCAACCAAUUCAAUAAGUUUACGAACUGAUUCUUCUAAGUUCGACCGACGUGGUUGGGUCCUGCUUUUGCUAUCGAAAUGAUCUCCCUCAAUAGUAUAAUUCAAGUCAUCCAGGGCAACUCUAACAUCAUUAAGAAUGUCACUGAAACUUUUUUGCAUGAUAUGAUGCUUUUGUAUGAUGACCCUCAGAAUGUCCUGAAGCCAACUUGGGUGGUUUUUGAAUGAUGUGUACCUCAAUUGAGUCUCUGUGUUCGCAUCCUUAACUGGAACCAACUCCUUGCCUGUUGCUUCUGAUAAAUCAAGUCCUGCACAAGAGUCCUUAGUCGUAACACACGAAUUAUUAUCUCCAGACACACUCAGGGAACUUUCAAAAUGUUUGUCUAAGGAAACAAUGGCGAGUUUCUCCAUCUCAACAAAGUCAUCCAUCACACUCAAUUCUGAUAUUGUGGCAUUUCUGCAGGAUGAUGCGGCUGGUUUUCCACUUUUAAAGUGUUCCAAUUCAGAAACUAAAGCAGAAGCCCAUGAUUCAGCACAGCUAAGGAUUUCAUCAUUCGCACCAUGCUCUGAAAUCGAAGAAACAUGAAAGUCGCACGACAAUGGACUGCCCUUUGAUGGCUCACAAACUUGUCCUUUUGAGAAUUCUUCAAGUUGUUUCUCAACCUGUGAUAGCUUCGAUGUGAUUUCUUCUGGAGUAGCACAUCAUCCAGUUUUUGCUUUAAAGAAGCGGUUUCUGCUUCUGUUUUUCGCCAUCCUUAAAUAUCAACCAGGAAAAAGUGUUAACAAAAGCGUUCCAAGCUCAUCUUUAGCAUUGGACUCGCGGCGAACCAAUGAGAGUUGUUCGUUUAAAUCUUCCAAGUAUCUCUCUAGCUCAAGGAUUCUCUCUUUCUGAAUGAAAAUGCAAAAGAUUACAAGAUCGCUUAUUUGAUAACAAAUUUGGAAAAACUGGGAGAUACAACUGCUGUUGAUUACUAGGAGCACAUUGCUCUUGAAGAGGAAGAAGACAAAAUCUUGCGAGUUAUAUAAUUGAAGGCUGGUUAUUUAAGUGUAAAUGUAGAUAGUUUCUUACCUCGAUAUUUUUUACCGAGGACUUCUUGUUCCAAACCCAUGUUUUGUUGUCCAUGAUAUUGACAAUUCUGUAAAAACAUAUCCAA